GACGCGUCCUGCAGCUGCCCAAUUGCGUACGAGCAGGGGCUUCAGCGUCCCUUUGUUUGCGGGAAGAACAUGGCGGAUCGGCUCACGCAGCUGCAGGACGCCGUGAACUCGCUUGCGGAUCAGUUUUGUAAUGCCAUUGGAGUGUUGCAGCAGUGUGGUCCUCCUGCCUCGUUUAGUAAUAUUCAGACAGCAAUUAACAAAGAUCAGCCAGCUAAUCCUACAGAAGAAUACGCCCAGCUUUUUGCAGCGCUAAUUGCACGAACAGCAAAGGACAUUGAUGUUUUGAUAGAUUCUUUACCCAGUGAAGAGUCUACAGCUGCUUUACAGGCUGCUAGCUUGUAUAAGUUGGAAGAAGAAAACCACGAAGCCGCCACCUGUCUGGAGGAUGUGGUUUAUCGAGGGGACAUGCUUCUGGAAAAGAUACAGAGUGCCCUUGCUGAUAUCGCACAGUCACAGCUGAAGACAAGAAGUGGUACCCACAGCCAGUCUCUUCCAGACUCGUAGCACCGGUGCAUGUGUACCACGUGGCUGAGAAAGAACUCUGUCAGUGCCAUUAAGGAUUCGGCAUCAGAUUUAGAUUCUUUACAAAUCAAAAAAGCCCUCACGCUGCAGGAGAGAGAUAGUGGACACUUGAAUUCAGGUUGCUAUCCUUCUGCCUCUUUAAAGGAAAUGGCUUACUGCAAAGAACCACCUUCCUCAGUAUGACCAAGGAAAAAACCCCCAUGAAUCUCAUCGCAUAGCCACACAGCUAAGUCUGGGGCAAAGAGGGCAGAGAUACUUACUGACCUUGAGAUAAGAAGAAAUCUAUCUCUGAUUCAGAACAUCUUGUGUACACAUUUAGGAUAAAAUUAAUAAAAGCAAAUGUUAACAACCUAACAUUUAGAGACAACUUGGGGAUCAAAGAGGAGAUGAUAAUGGAGAUUGGGACAUAAUGCAGAACUGAAUGCAAACGAACUACAUAUGGAAAGUUCAGGCAUUCUGCUACGACAGCACUUAGAUGCACUGUUACCUUCCUUGCUUAUAUUAGAAAAAUAGAAGUUGAAAAUUAAUUCACUAAGCUUCAAACGGAAAUAAAGAAGAAGGGAAUAAUAAAGGUAACAGAAGAAGUUAAGGAGGCAACCAUACUAUGACAGAAUGAGGAAAGCCCAAAGUUGAAAUUCAAGAAGAGUAACAAAAUGGAUAAUUUAGGCAAGUUUAAUGAAGGGGAAAAGAAAUCUGGCGUAAAUAAGCAAUAUGUAGAAUUUAAAAGUUAUGUACGUUGAUCUUAAAAUGUUGAGAAAAUUUGAAUAACUUCACGCCAAUACAUUUGAGAAUUUUGGUGAAAAGGAUAUAUUCCUAGAAAAAAAAAACUUCAGCCAGUAGGUUCAGGAAGAUCUACAAAUCAUGGUCCUUUAACCUUCAUAAAGAGAUUCAAUCAGUAGUCAAAACUGUAACCCACCAAUAAAGCACCAAGCCUAGAGAGUUUUAUUAAUUUUACUGAACAUUCAGAGGAAAAAAUUCCAGUAUUAUACAAAACAGAUAAAUCUCAUUCCUCAAAUCUGACAGGGACGGUACAAAAAUAAAAGUUACAGCCCAUAUCACUCAUGAACAUGCAAAAAUAAUAGCAAAUUAAAGCCAGAGGGUAAUGAAAAAGUGAAUACAUCACAAUAAACUUGUGUUUAAUUCCAGGAACGCAUGGCAGUUUUAUCUUUAUAAAUUAGUUUGUAUUUUAUCAAUUCUUAGAUGCCUCUAUUUUUUCUUAAUUUUCCCUUAAAGGGAAAUAUUCAAUGGGAAGCUAUUUUUUCUUUCCUUAUUGGAGCAUAAAAUAAUAGUAUGUUUUAAAAUUGAUGGAAUCUUUGAUUUGAUUGGAAAAUGUAAUUUGUCAUUAAUAGAUUAAUCAUGAUCAUCUAACUUGAUGCAGGAAAAGCAUUUGAUAAAAUUCAACAUUUAUGGGGAAACUCUUGGCAAAGAGAACAAAAGUUUUAUAAUGUGAAGAGCAACUUAACAAAGUACAGCAAACUUACUGAAAGGUCAAAUGUAUUCCCUCUAAGUUUGGGAACAAGACAAAGAUGCCUGCUAUAGCCACGUGUAUUUUGUGCCAGUGGUCAUACCAAUUCAUUUAAGCAUCAAAAAGAAAUAAAAAUUGCGCAAAGGAAACAAAGUCUUACUAUUUAAAGAUGAAAUAAUUACCUGGGGCGAAAAUGAAGAUUCUAUAGAUAAAUUUUGGAAAGGUCCUUGGACAUAAAAACAAUGUGCAUGCACUAUGCCAACAAAUGGUAGGAAAAGAUACUUUGAAAAGAACAUUUUCAAUAGCAUUUUAAAAAUGAACUUUUAAGCUUACAAUAAAAAUGUGAUACAUUUAGGGAGAAACAAUGAAAAUUGAGGAAAAAUUGCAGAAGUUUAGAAUAUUUAAAAAAACUAGAAUAAAUGGAGAGAAAUACCUUUAUGGGACAGAAGAGUCAGUAUUGUGAAUAUGAAUUUUCCUCAGGGUUUAACACAGCGUUAGUGAAGUUUCUAACGAAUUUCUGUGGAAAUGGCCAAGUUAUUUCUAAGAUGUGUAUGGAAGUACAAAGUGUCAGUAGAUACCGAGAUUCUCAUGAGAAAAGACAAUGACAAAUUGCUUUAAUGGGAAAUAGGACAGCACAUAUUAAUCAGUCCAGGGAUAGUCAAGUAGACCAAUGGAAGAGAAUGAAAAUCUAACAGAACUCAACACAGACACUAAGACUUGAUUUGUGACAGAGAUGAUGUUGCAAAUCAUUGGGGAAAGAAUAGAAAUGGUGCUGGAAUUUUAGUUAUCUAUAUGCUGUUUAUUAAAGCCAGUGCCUACGGGGUUUCUUUUUCGAGUGAUGAAAAUGUUAUGGAAUUAGUGGUAAUUGUACAACUCUGUGCAUAUACUGAAAAACACUGAAUUAUAUGAUUUAAUAGGGUGACUUUUUAAAAAUGGAGGUACUGGGGAUUGAACCCAGGACCUCACUCAUGCUAAGCACGUGCUCUACCCCAGAGCUAUACUCACCCCCGUAAAAGGGCAACCUUUAUGGAAUGCUAUUUGUAUCUCAGUAAAGCUUUUAUUAAAAAAAAGAAGGAAAAAAACAUGCCAGGUGAAGGGCAAAUAUCUGAUACUUUUAGGAGACAUUCUUGGGAAAAUAUCUGUAUAACUUCAGAAUAAGAAAGGAUCUUUUAAAAGUAGAUAUAAAAAGCUAUAGCUAUAAAGGAAAAUAAUAUAAAAAUUACAAUAAUAUGCAUCAGGCACUGCUUCAAACUUUUAACAUAUAUUAACUAAUUUAGAAAAAAGUUAAUAAAUUUAACUACAUUAAAAUUUAGAGCUUCUGUUCAUGAAAGUUCUCCAAAAAGUGAAAGUGCGUGCUCAACCUGGGAGCGGGUAUGUGCAACACUUGUAACUGAACAAACGGUUAGUAUCUAGAAUAUAUGAAAAUAAACCAAUAAGAAAAAGACAAAGAACCCAUUGGAAGAAUCACAAAAUAGUCAUUUCACAGCAGAGGAAUGGCCAGUAAAUGUGUAAAAAUGCUCAACUUCAUCGGUCAUCUGAGAAAUUUGAAUCCAACUUUCUGGGUUUUUAGAAAGGUUCACUUUCCCAGGCAGGAGGACAAACGUUUUUUAAAUUAAUAAUUGGCUAGCUUGAUUUAUGAAUUUCAUACAUUUGGAUAUAUGGUCCAUUGGCUUCUAUGGAUUCUUGGCCAGGGUUGCAUAUGUUCAGGACAAACUCAUUAAUGUCUGUUUAUAUAUGACUUAAAAGCAAGGAGAUUCCAAAGACAAAAUUCAGGGCAGUGAUUACCUCUCUGGUGGAAAGAAGCAGUUGUCAGGAGCAAAGAGGGCCUUUUAAGGUUGUGUGAUGAUGUUCUGUCUCUUCAACUGGGGGACAUGUAUUUAAUAAAAACUCAGUAUUUAACAUAAACUAUAUUUAGGGGUCAUGUUCAAUAAUAAGGUCUAAGGCAGCACAUUUCUAAGCUGCGUAAUACAUUGUUUCACUCAUGUUUGAAUUCGGCAGAACUGCUUGCCCCUGCCUAUUUACGGUUGCAAAUUUGCCUUUCUUCUGGUUGCCUGAGAAAGGCCUCAGAUGGUGGGAAAGCCCCAUUCAGGCACUCAUGCUGCAGAUUGGAGCUUCUGAGACCAAACACGUAGCAAUCUGUCACCACAAGAGGGCAGUUUGACCCUGAACUUUGGUUCUAUUCAGGAAGUGGUCGGGCAAGAUGUUCUGUGACCUUGAGCGGUCCCUGGGGACUAACUAGCUUGGUAGUGGUCAUCACAAGGUAGAGGAGUCCCCUGGAAUACGAUUCUGAUUUGAACUGGUGAUCUCCUGGAGCCAGUAACUUGAAUCUGAUGGCCAAACCUCUACUUUUCAUCUGAAAACAAAAGGACAGGGACACAACUUCAUGGCUCUUCAUAGAAGGGUUGUUAAGUGCUCACAAAGCGAGUUAUGUGAGCACUUUCUCUGGAUGGCAGGUGAUCUUUUAUGUCCAAGUUUAUGCAUGUGAGUGUGUUACACGGCUCCACGUCAGAAAUCUGCUGCUCUCUAGCUGAAGAGCAGCCCUGUGUGACGGGGCAGUGUAAAAAGUGAUGAAUAGCACACGCUCCUGUGCCUCCCUGCUUAAGCACUGCCACUUACUGGUUGUGUGACCUUGGCAGGUUAUCUCUGUCUCAGCACAGCUGAAAAAUGGGGGCAAUAUUACCAAUGACCGCAUGGGGUUGUUAUGGAGGGUAAAUGAGUAUACAUGUGCAGGAGUCCAGCACCCACUCUGGGACGUGGUUUUGUAGAAGCUACGCUAGUGGAUCAAGUAGGGAUGUGAUGGUGACCACAGUGCCUGCGUCCUUCUGGCCUUUAAGGGUGACUUUAAUCUCUGCCAUAGUUCUAGGCAGAAUUGUUUUUUAGUUUACAAUAUUUAUAAUAAAUUUUUAUAAAAUUGUUCUCAUGUUUACAGUACUUACAAAUAUUUAUGAUAUUUGGUUUUUGUUUACAAUAUUGCCAAUGCACGGUUGUUUUUUAUUUACUAUUUUGACCAAGGCAGGGUGGGAGGGACAGUUUCAGAGCUUCCACCUGGCUUCUUCCACUUGCAUAGCGCUCAUGUGGCGAUGAUGCUAACUGCAGGGUUCAGCAGCUGGGGAGAGGGUCACUGGAUAAAUCAUGGAACCAGUGGACCUAUUACGUGUGUGGGAUCUUUGCCAGGACACCAUUUAUUAUUUCCCAACAAGAGAGCCAUGAUAAUGCUUUGGAUUCUCAGGUAUUAAUGUCAAAUCAGACCCUACAGCCAACACUCCUCAAAACGCCGUGGUAUUUCUCUUUCCCGUGUACACGGCUACCUGAACAAAUAGCCAUGGGCCCCUGUGGGGUAGGUCAGGAGAAUUAUUGUCAUAGACACUUGUGCGGUGUUGUCGGGGAGCCUCAUGAGAUCGGUGGGUUCUGAAUCUGAAAGGGGACUCAGGAUUGGAAAUAGGGAAGAGAUCAUGACUUUUUACUGGGGCAGCUCCCCUCUGGAGUUUAAUCAUUCACCCUUGGUUUCGUCUGAUUCUGUUGAUUCCCUCUCCUGCCCUUAAGGACUCAUUUUCUCUUCAUCGCCAUAGUUCCCCGAGAGUCAGUGUCCCCACUGCUGCUCAUGACCAUAGUUGCUCCCACCUUGCUUCUGAUGAGCAUUGCCACCUGGCCCCUGUUUUGGGGGGAUCCUGUCAUUUCUACUGCUAUCAGGUAUCCCAGCUGGGUGCCAGCAUCUCCCACCAUCUGCUGUAGGCAGCGGUGUGCUAGAGCUGGCUGGCUCUUUUCAGCUCUUACAAGAGCCAAUUGUGACGUUUUAAGGAAUUUUAUUAGCCAGUUGUUAAACACAAGAUGUUAAAUAUUAUCUGACAAGAGAAUGACCGAAUAUGGAUAAACUCUCCCUUCUCUGACUUUAUUUUUUGUCUCGAUUCUGUACUCAUGUCAUGUCCCAGCCUUGUACGUAUUUUCCCAGCUCCUCCAGUCCACGUUAGCUAGGCCCUGCAGCUCCUUGUCCUUCUUUGCAGGCCCGGCACCUCCUCAGUUGGGUUAGAUUGUGAGUGAACCUAGUUUACUAUCUGGUAGCCAGGAUAAGAGGUGAAGGUGUAUCCUGGGUAGAGGUGUGUGGGGAUGGCAUUUGUCUUGCAAAGCAGAGGGUUCCACAUCAUGUUCAAGGAGGUAAGUAGAGCUAGCCUUGAGUAGGGAGGAGUGGGCCACUUGUUCAGGCCCAGAGGAAUCUGGGGAUUCAAGAUUUUUGCAUGCUUUAACCAAGAAGGCCCCAUGCUAUGCCUGAGGGUCACAGUCCUUCCCAAUCAAUGCCCUGACGGUGGUGAAGCUGACUUGCCUGGGUUGAGAAUCAAAUGUUUCUGGCACUUCACUUCUCUUAUAAUUAAAGGCUGAAUAUGAUCCUCAGCUUUUUCUGCCUUCAUGCUACAAGAGCUGAGUGUCUGCUGUCAAGGACGUUUUCCAGCUCCCAUGCUUUGCCUAAAAUCGCUGAUAAACACCUUUAGCCUCUUAUUACCCUCCGCCUCCUCCAUGCAUUGAUUGUAGCACCUGACACCCACUCUCAUAUUCCAGUUCUUUGUUGCAACAGAUUUCUCUGGGUGCAAUGGAUGACAAUAUGCUGCAUGUGUGUGGGGGGAGCAGUGUACAACUGGAUAAGUUUGACAUACACUCAUGAAACCAUUAUCAAAGCCAAGGUAACAAACAUUUCCAACAAUCCCUAAUUGUUCCUCCUACCCCUUUUUAAUUUAUCCCUCCUUUCACUCUCAUCCCCAGGGAAAUUCUGAUCUGCUUUUUGUCACUAUAGAUUUGUUUGUAUUUUCUAGACUUUUGCAUAAAUGGAAUCAUACAGUGGGUAUUAUUUUUUGGUCUGGCAUCUUUAAGUAUAAUGAUUUUGAGAUUUACAUAUGUUGUUGAGUUUUUCAGUUAUUCAUUCCUUUUUUAUUGCUGAGUAGUAUUCCAUUUAACGGAUGUACCAAAAGGUUUACUCUUUUACCUGUUGAUGUAUAGUUGGGCUAUUUCUAGGUUUGGGUUAUUGUGAAUACAGCUGCUACUGGAUAUAAGUCUUUGUGUGAACAUGUUUUAAUUUUUCUUGAAUAAAUAUGUAGGAGUGGAA